rnacentral:rRNA from 1 species
GUGGGGAAUAUUGGACAAUGGGCGAAAGCCUGAUCCAGCCAUGCCGCGUGUGUGAAGAAGGUCUUCGGAUUGUAAAGCACUUUAAGUUGGGAGGAAGGGCAGUAAGUUAAUACCUUGCUGUUUUGACGUUACCGACAGAAUAAGCACCGGCUAACUUCGUGCCAGCAGCCGCGGUAAUACGAAGGGUGCAAGCGUUAAUCGGAAUUACUGGGCGUAAAGCGCGCGUAGGUGGUUCGUUAAGUUGGAUGUGAAAGCCCCGGGCUCAACCUGGGAACUGCAUCCAAAACUGGCGAGCUAGAGUACGGUAGAGGGUGGUGGAAUUUCCUGUGUAGCGGUGAAAUGCGUAGAUAUAGGAAGGAACACCAGUGGCGAAGGCGACUACCUGGACUGAUACUGACACUGAGGUGCGAAAGCGUGGGGAGCAAACAGGAUUAGAAACCCUUAGUCC